UACUGGUGAGGCGCCAGGACACCUGGCUGGCUUUCACGGCCAGACCAUCUUGCUGUUAGACCUGGAGCCAGAUCUCAGUUCCCAUUCUCGGCAGAUGAGGAGACUAAACUAGCCUCUGCCAGCAAAGGUGAUUGGAGAUUUCAAGUCCGAGUGCCAUACUCUGUAAACAUCAGGGAAUUAUGGCCAAGAUAAUUGCUUUCUGCUUGGCUGUUUCUCUCUAAGAAUAAGUGCCUGAUGUUCUACAGUCACAGAGAAAGGGAUUGAAUGUAAUUAAGGAUUUGAGUGCAGAGAAGUAGAUAAAAGAGGCCCAGGUCUCAGAAAAAGCUGCUCAAAGUGGAAAAAGAAAAAUGCAAAGAAAGCAGAGGAGUUGCUCCAAAUGAACGUCGUUGCACACAUCGGCCCAAGAGGGCAGUGCUUGUGACUGGCUCUAAGACAGUGGAGUACGGCGAAGGUGAUAGAGGUCACCGCUGUGAGGAUAUUACAGAGCAAGAGUCUCCUGCUGGCCUUGAAGAAGGAAGUCGCCAUAUUGUGAGAAAGACUGAGAAAGGCCACAUACAAGGACCUGCGGAGCAGCCCCCUGUGGACAAAUGGGGAGCAAGUGUGGCCGCAGUCCCAGCUACCUAGAGCAGAAUACAGUCCACAACCCUGUGAGCUUGGAAAAGGGCCCCAACGUCCAGAAAGAAAUGCAGCUCACCAACACUCUGAUUCCAGCUUGGGAGGCCCUGAGCACAGGACACGGGCAAGCCGGGCCCAGACUUCCAACCCAGGGAAGCUGAAGUAAUAAACGUAUGUUGUUUUCA